rnacentral:lncRNA from 1 species
UAUCUCAAACAGGAACAUCAUAAAGAUACCAUUCCACAUACUUCGUAGCAAAAAGUAACAACAUUGACAAAACGCUACAAUGUUCAGAACAUAGAAAUAACUUAAUUUAUGUAUGAACUAAAUAUCGUAGGUAUACAAAAGACAGGACAGACCCAGUGCAUAGAAGCUCCCACACAAGGUGGGGUCUGGGGAGGGAUUAUAGGAACCUAGUCUUACCCCUGCAAAGUGCAAUGCAGAGAGGCUGGUUCGAACCCAGGACCUCUUGGCACAAGUGGGGAGGACUUCACCACUGCGCCAGGCCUGCCCUCAGGUAUACAAAAGACAGGCCAAAUCUUAAACAUGAAUGCCAAAGUGUACUGUGUACAACAAUACAAAAGACAGGCCAAAACUCAACAUGAAUGCAGAAGUGUACGACAAUAUAAAAG